rnacentral:lncRNA from 1 species
GCGGUUGUAUCCACCGCCACUUCCGUAACCGCCACCGCCUCCACCGCGGCUUCCGCGGGACUGAGCUUCGUUCACAGUGAUGUUGCGUCCAUCAAGGUUCUGACCGUUCAUCCCUUCGAUCGCAUCCCUCAUUGAAUCCUCGGAGGCGAAGGUAACAAAUCCAAAUCCCCUGGAUCUUCCAGUCUCACGAUCGUUGAUAAUCUACACAUAAAACCACAAACGGUUCAUCAAAUUGAAAUGAAAAGCAAAACAGCACGAAAACAAAAACCAGAACCGAAUAGAAACCGAUCGAUCUUCUUCUUUGGCAAAAAGAUGAAGAUGAACGUACCUAUUGGCGUGAGUAAUAAAAGAAUCAUAUAGUAACACAAGUAUCAUAUCAUAGAACAAGUAACGCAAAUAGAUCAGAGAUCACAGAUCAGAACGGGAUGGAGAAAUUCCGGAUCCGAAUUGUGUCAGAUCAUAUGCGAUGCGGACCUUCGAUUCAACGACGUCACCGUACUGAGAGAAGGCUUUCUCCAGAUCGUAGUUGUCAGUGGCCCAAGCGAGCCCACCAACAAAGCAUCGGUAUUCAACAUCCGCAGAAGCCAUGGAAAUUUGGAAAAGAGGAUAGGAAUAAGAUUGACAUGCCCCAAGUGAUAGUCUUAUAGCAAGUGAAUUGUUAAUCAGGGUUACCGCGUGCAAGUUGGACCUUAACCAGGGUUAAAUUAGUAGCGACUUUACAGGGGGGAAUAUUUUCUCUUAUGGAGUACUAUUAUUUUUUCGGUGGUACUGUAAUGGAUAACCUGACGUGACGUGCACCACUAUUAUUGGCGUUUUUUCAGAAGGAGUUGUUACGUGUCGUGCAUGCAUGAGGGGGGCGCCACUGAAAGAGCCAUCUUCUUCCUGUCACCACUCACAACUGACACAGACACAUCGUACUUUUUCUUUUUCUUUUUCUAACAUUUAUUACUUUUUGCCACUGCAUAGACUAGCAUAAGUUUAUUGGAAGGAUAAAUAGGUGAGAAAAAAAUUAUAAUAAAUGAUUAAAUUCAGUGCCUGAAUUUAUAUUUUAUUAUCAUAUUAGUUUGUUCUUUUACUUUUUAAAUCUCAUAAAAUUUUAAAUAGAUAAUUCUUUAAAUUAUUUUUUAAUUUUACUAUUUAAUAUGAGAUAAUAAUUAAAUUCUAGGAUCAAAAUGAAAAAAAAUAUCAAAGACUUCAAUGAUUUUUAAAAAAAACUUAUUUAAGUUUUUAUUUUUUAAUUUUAAGAACUAAAAAUAACAAUAAGAUACAAAUUAAGAGAUUAUAUUCACUAUCUAGUAAGAAAAACUAUUUAGAAUUAUCUAAAACAAUCAUAAUAUUUAAAAAUAUUUAUUCAUUAUAAUUUUAAUUAGAUAAGAAUUGUCAGAUUAAAGUAUUAAUUAUAUUAUUUUAACAGGAAUUUUUGCUAAAAAGAUUAUGAAUUUUUCACUUAAGAAACAAUACUUUUUUAUUCUUUUCUAUAGUACAUUUUAACUAAAUGAACAAUUUAUAACAUUCAAAAUUAGAACGUCGCCUGUAAUUGUGUGUUUUCAGACUUCCACGUUUGUCACAUAAAUUGACGUGAGUUAUGUUCUCAAUCAAACGCGUAAGUUAUUAAAUUCUCGUAUUUUUCAACUCGAAAAUUUCAAUAUAUUUUCUUUAACAUAUUGCCUGUAAACAUUUUUAAUCCAAUUUAAUUUAUUGACAAAAUUAACAAUUACUAGUAAAGUUCUUGACAAUUGCAAGUUAAUGACAACUUUUUUCAUAUCCAGCUUACCGAAACAGGUAAACUAAUAGCCAUUCUCCAUUAAAAAUGCAAUCAGAAUAUUUUCUUCGUCCAUCGUAGAUCGUACAAAUGAAAAUCUGUUUAAUACUUCUCCGAUUAUCAUUUCAUUCAAUCGAUUGUACACAAAGAGAUAGAAAGACAGACACCCAAACCACACAACACCUAAAAUUACUGAACUUAAUCAUAAACCCUAAUCUUGUUCAUCCAGCUCUAGUUUCUCCGGCUUCCAUUGACAUCGCCACCACGAGAGUAGCGUGAACCACCGUCACCGUAACCACAAUCUCUGUCACCACCAUAACCACCCCCUCCAUAGCCUCCACCACCACGGUUAUAUCCACCUUCACGACGACCACCGUAUCCACCGCGGCUGCCGCGGGACUGAGCUUCGUUCACAGUUAUGUUACGUCCGUCAAGGUUCUGACCGUUCAUCCCUUCGAUCGCAUCCUUCAUUGAAUUCUCCGAGGCGAAGGUAACAAAUCCAAAUCCCCUGGACCUUCCGGUCUCACGAUCGUUGAUAAUCUGCACGUAAAAACACGAACGGUUCAUCAAAUUGAAAUCGAAAGCAAAACAGCACGAAAACCAAAUCCAGAACCGAAUAGAAACCGAUCGAUCUUCGCCUUUGGUAAAGAGAUGAAGAUGAACGUACCUAUUGGCGUGAGUAAUAAAAGAGAAUUAUAUAAGAAGAAGAAGAAGAAGUAUCAUAGAUCAAGUAACGGAAAAAGAUCAGAGAUCAGAACGGGAUCGUGUGCGAUGGCUGCAACAAACGGACCUUCGAUUCAACGAUGUUGCCGUAGUGAGAGAAGGCUUUCUCCAAGGCAUGAUCGUCUGUGGCCCAAGCGAGCCCACCAACAAAGCAACGGUACUCAACAUAUGCAGAAGCCAUGGAUAACAUAACAGUAUAAAAUAAAAUCCAAAUAGGGAUAAAAAUUGCACGCUGAAAAACUAAACCCCCCAAGGAAUUGCUUUAUAGCAGGUGAAUUGUUGACCUGUGUUAAACUGGUUACAAGUACUACCUACACAUUCGGCUAUUUAACUGAAAAAGUCAAUCUUUCAGGCUUACCGUUUCAUCAGGAGGUUGAAUGGAUCACAUGUUGCCAUGUUGGGCAGGUUGGUAUAAAGAAUUUGGGGAUUUUCUUCCUCCACCCAACACCAUUUUUUUACACCCAACGUUUUGAGUGAAAAAUCAAUUUUACCUCUUCUUCAUUGACACUUAAAUGUCAAAUACAGAUUAAUUGAGAAAUUGUCUGUCUGCACCAUUCAUUCACGCGUUUUUUCAUUUUUUCUCUCAAAUUCUUUCAUCUUCUUCUCUUCAAUCUGUGGUUGUCUUCAUCAAUUCAUGUGUGCUCAUCAGCGGUGUCUGUCUUCAUUUCCCUAUCGCCUUAGUGAGCCGUUGUGAGUUCUGUUGUCUGUAUUUUUUUUUUUGUGUAUUGAACGUAUACGGAUACGGAUUGUCAAUCCGUAUGAAGUAAACGAAAGAAGAAAAAAACUUACCAAUGACAAUGCAGUGCUACUCACGACGACAGAGGAGAGGAAACUCCCGGAAGAGAAACUAGAGAGGAGCCAUGACAGGAACACACACCACGAACAAUACCAACACCAGUUUCACAAAAGAGAAAGAGAAUAUCAACGGUCGUGGUGACAAAAAUUUCAAAUGAGCAGUGUCUUACGAAUUAUCAAUCGGAUAAUCAAUCCAUAGGCUAUACGAAAAAGAGAAAAGAAAGAAUUGAAGAACAAGUAAAAAAUGAUAAAGUUGAAAAUUUUUAAAAUAUGUUAAAUGUAGAAAAAAUUUAUUGGGUGUAAAAAAACACAAGAAUUUGGGUCAAAAUAUGAGUUAGUACAUUUUUGGAGGCCCAAAAAGUUUAUGAUUUUUCAAACACAAACUUAAAUUUAUAACUUUAAUAACUAUUAAAAAAAUAAAACAAAAUCCGAACAUGUGAAAGUCAGAUCUGCAAAGCGGUGCCCAAAACUCUUUUUUGCACAUUAUUCAUUAGGCAACUCAUGAUAUUAUGUCUUCACAGAGCCUUAGUACCAGUGCACUGCAGAUCACAGGAUCUAAUCUCCGGAUACAAAAGCACAAAUAAAUAAUAAUCAGACACUUGCAAGCUUUCAAAAUCACAAAAGUAAAAUGUACAAAAAAAAUUGAUGAAAAAGAAAAAAACUUUGUCCUAAUACAAUAUCUGCAAUAAAAAGGAUAUAUCAUAUAUUUUAAACAAAAAACAAAAAUUAAAAUCAGAUUUUUCAUUUGAAAAUACAACAUGAGCAAGUAUUGUCAUCCAAAAACGAUUGGGGGGAAGGAAAAAAAAUGCCAAUGAUGAGAAAACAACUUCACUAAUUAAAAAAAUUUAAUUAGUGAACUGUUCAGCAAAUGGAAGGUUGUGUGAAUAAUUUGCUCUUAAGAAUCGAUAUUGUUGUAAUUGUUGAGCUAAAUGGAUUCGUCGACUUGUAACUUUGAACACAUUUUUUUUGUUUCUAGCUAUUUUAGUUAUUAUUUAUGUUUAAAUUCUGGUUCUGUAACUUUAUAUAAUGCAUUGAACAGAUCGAGAUUGUGUAUUCGGAAUCUCUUACAGUGAGGAUAAAUAUUUAAUAUUUCGGCUUCAAUCUUGGAACUUUUCUGGUUUGCUUGUUGAUUUCAUUUUCAGGCUUUCAGCUUGGUGAAGUUGUGUCUAUUCUCUCAAGUCUUUACCUAUGUACUUUUUAUGCCGAGUGGGUUUAGAUUCUAGGUGCCAGGUUUUGUUAUUUAGGCUCACCUUGUUGCCAAACAUUUCCCUAGUUUAGUUUGUGGAACUUUGAUUUUACUCUUCCUUAAGUCUUGGGGUUUUGGAUUUUGAGCAUGUUCGUUACAUAGAGCCUUUCAUUUUAGCAUCCUACUGUAUUAAAUGUUAAGUUCUGAUUUAUGAAAUGCAUCUCUAUUGGCUAGUGAUAGUUUGAGCAAUUGGACUUUCAAUUACUUUUAUUUUGUGCAAGGAGCCUACCAUUUCAAACAUGGUCAAUUCCUGAGUAAUUUGUGUUGAUUUGCUUGGGUUAGACAAAAGUUUGGCCAUGUUGUGUUUUAUCAGCUGGUUUCUGGCAUUACUAAUCUUUAAGUGGAGUGUGGAGAUUGCCUUCUUUUCUGUCGCUAAAUUUCAGUUAAGUGUUCCACUUCUAAUUGCCUCUGGUCUUCAACAAGAAGGGGUCCAUUGUUUUCGUUCUUGCAUUGUGGAUUUAUGCAUUUGAGCAUUCUCAAGAGCUUACUUCAGAGUCUGUUGUAAAAAAUAAAAAAAAGAGCUUACUUCAUUAGUUUAUUCAUGAGUCUUAAAAAUUUGGUAACUUCCUUUCAAUGAUAGGCAACUCUGAUUGCGGAAAAAAAAAAUGCAAGCUUGUUUGUAGAAUUGUAGUAAUAUUCUCUUUAAUUUGAGCAGACUUUGACGACUAAUUUUGCACAUCUGUACUCUAUUCUCUUGGAAGUUAUGCGAUUGUAAACAUAACUUGAAGUGAUCGCAACAAGUCCAAAGAUUAUUUCUACUGUUCAAGCUUUAUAGUUAAACUAGACUUUCAACAAGUGCAACGCACGGGCUUUAAUUUUUUAAAAUUAUAUAUAUAUAUAUAUAAAAUUUUAUAUUUAUUUAUAUAAAUAAAAAUAAUAAUUUUUAAAUAUUUAGUAUUAUGUUAAACAUAAUUAUAUUAUCAAUGAAAAAUUUAAUUAAUUAUAUUUUUAAUUGAGUUAAUUUUAUCUUAAAAAUUAAAUAUAUUAAAAUUUAUUGUAAUUUUUGGUUCAUUUAAGUAAUAAUGGUGAUAUAAUAUCUUUUGAAAAAUAAAUGUAUAUAAAUAAAAUUAUUCAUUUUAAAUAUUUUUAAUAGUGAAAUCAAUAUAUAAAUAUUAAAAUUGAAAAAUAAUGUUAAAUAUUAUAUUUAUGCAUUUGUUAUUUAAGGGUUCCACUUGCACUCUGCUUAUUUAGAAAAUUGCGCUAACCUCCAAUGCUUUGUUAUUUUAAGGGGAUUGUGUGUAUAGUCCAUACUCUGUAAAUAAAAGUGAGCUAGAUGUGUGUAAUUUUUUAAAAAUAAUGAGUGUUGAUGAGUAAGGAUCAUAUAUAAAAUAAGGGAGGUAGUUGUUCAUACAAGCAAGGUGCAAGUGUAUUUAGUGCUAACCUUAAGGGAGGUAUAUGUUAUUAAUCCUUUAUGUCAGAUGAUCUUAUCUUGAAACCAGUUGCGUGUUGGUACAACUGGGUUUUAAAUUUUGAUUCUAGUGUAUACUACUAUAAUAUAACUAAUAGUUAUAUGUCAACCACAGUUCUGAAACUUGGUCAGUGUAUUUGGCUAUUGAAAUGUUACAUCCUUUUACUUUACAGUGUUGUAGUUUUCAAAAGCCUUUACCUAGUCAAUGAUUGCUUAGAUAGGUUGGUUGGUUAGUCUCCUAGAACUUUACUUGUCAUUGACACCGAAUGGCACUUAGGGCAAAGGGAGAUAAACAUGAUUCUCAUCUUUAGUUUGCAUAUUGCUUCUGGCUGACAGCUUCUCGUGAGAUGAGAAAAUUCGGAUCUGGUUUUACAUAUUGCUUUUGGCUGACAGCUUGUUUGACUUAACUUUGAUUUUUGAAACUCCUAAUAUUGAGACAAUAUUUUAUUUAAAGAUUUUUUUAGCAUUUGAAAAGUUCCUUCACCCCAACAUAAACUAUUAUUGUCUUUUAAUUUUUUUUUAUCAUAUGACAGCAUUAGAUUGUUUAAUAUAGAAUACUAUUGCUGGAUCUAUCUAUCCAGAAUUAUAAUAUAAUAGUGGAAAAUGCAAUUGAAUGUUUUACAUUCCUUGCCUUGUGUUUAGAUGAAGGAUUUGAAGUGAUCAGUUGCAUUCCACUAUCUUACUGAAUAUGCCAAAAUUAAUUAUAAUAGCAUUGCUUUUUAUGAAGUUCCCUUUGUAAUUGUGUCUAGUCUCCAAAAGUAUGUGACAUACUUAUUCACAUGCAAUGUUAGUAUUGGUAUGUGUAUUUUGUAAGAAGAUAUUUGUUUUAAAUCUCAAAAUAGUAUAUACACAAAUUAUCUUAUAUCAUUAUCGUACAGUUUGGAUUGAAAAGAAAUGGAUCGUAUCAUAGUUGACACUGCAAUUACUUUAAAAAAACGUAAAAGAGAAGAGUAUAAGAAUAUAAUCUUAUUAGUUGUUACUUGUGUUGUUCAUAUAGUUAUUGAUGUAGUGACAUGGUAUCAUAAUAAUUAUUUUGUUAAGGAACCAACCUGUAAUUGGAAAUAGGAACAUUUAGCUUCCUUAAUCGUAUUUAUAGAGUAGAGGGACAGAGAAAUAUUACAUUAAACAACUAAGGCUUAGUAAAAGUGCAUUUUUUAACCUUUGUAAAAUUUUACAAGAGAGGGAUGGAUUAGUAAGAACAAGACAAUUGAAGUAGUAGAUAUGUUUUUAUAUAUCCUUGCUCACAACCUAAAGUAUAUGGUAGUGCAAUUUAGUUAUUGUAGAUCUAAAGAAACCAUAAAUAGGCAAUUCAAUGGAAAUAUUGUGUAUUUAAAUUUCUUAAAAAAUUUUAAAUCCUUCAUCCAAAUACAAUAUACUUUAUUAGGCUAUUAAAAAAUCCAAUUGUGUUAAUAUUCAAUACUAGAGAUGCACUAACGAGUAAGAUUUUGUUUAUUAUGAACUUUUUAAUUUAUUAAAAUUAUAUCAAUAUGACCUUGUUAAGCAUAAGUAUAUAUUUUCUUAGGUAUAAGAAACGUCAAAUCAUCAAUUGAAUUAGUUAUUUUUUAAAAAUUAAAAUCGAUGAGUUAUUUUAAUUAAUAUUGUCAUAAAUUAAAGUUUUAUUCCAACUAUCACCUUAUGUUUAAUAUUGUAAGUGACAAUCAUAUUUAAUGUCAAUACUAUCAAUCCAAUGAAUGAAUAUCUAAUAAAUAGAAUUAACAAGAAAAAAUGAUAUAAAAAAUUUAAUCCUAAAUAAGUUUUAAAAAUAAUAAUUGUUUCUUAUAAUUAGAAUUAAAGUAAAGUAUAAUUUAUUUCUUAUAAACAGAACCUAAGAUAAUAUUAUAUAAGUAGUCUUUUAACUUGUGAAUUGUACAUAAAAAUAUUUAUUUUAUAUAUUUAUAAUUUGUAGUUAAGUAUUUUUUUAGCAUAUAAAUUAUAUUUCAUAUUCAUGAUUAAUAAUUUGUAUUGUGAAACAAUACUGUUUUUAAAUAUUAAUCAUUGUUUCUAAAAUAAAAUAUUAAAAUCGCAAAGAUUAAACGCUAAGAAAAAAAAAAUUAAAAAAACACUUUUGUAGAUGAAAAAUAGUUAGAAGUGUUAUCUUUGACGAAUGAUAGCUAAAAACGCCCAUUAAGCAAAAAAAUAUAAAGAAAUAAUCUAUAAUUAUAUUAAAAUGAAAUUUUACAAUAAAUUAUUACUGAUAUAUAAAUUGCAUGUAAAAUUAAAAUAAAAAAUAAAUUGUAACAUUAGCAAAUUUAAGAUAUAAUUUUUAAAUUAGAAUUAAAAAUGAAAAAUAUUAAAAUGAAUACUUUUUUGGUAGACAUAAAAACUAAUAUUAUUUAAUUUGAAAUUAAAAAGAUAAAAAAUUAAGAAAAAAAAACAUCUAUGAAAAUAUAAUUAAAAAUUUUAACUAAAAUAUAAUUUUCGUCUGAAUUUAUUUUUAUUUAAGACAUUUUCUCUCAUACUUUUAAAAAAAUUAAAAUUUUAGUCUCACAUUUUUAAUUAAAAAAUUUCAUCCACACUUUUAAAAAAAUUAUAAUUUUAAUUCCUAUGGACAACAAUUUCAAAUGUGAAUAUUUGUUAUUCAUUAACGUUGACUACGGGUAGUAACCGAUAAGAACUGAUCGGUGAAUCCAAAUAUUAAUUUUAAAACAUAUUUUAAAAUGUUAAAAAACUGAAUAAAUUAAAAUAAAAAAUUUGACUUUAUUAUUUUAAACUAAAAUCUAUCACAAUAAAAUAUAUCAUCAUUUUAAAUAUAACAAAUUAAUAAUAAUUUAGAUCAAAAUAGUAAUAUGACAAAUUAAUACUGUAAUCCUUGUACAUUUAGAUUAGAUAGAUUAAACGGACGGAUAGUUAGUUAAGUCUGCUGGAUUUAUCACGUUAAAAUAUUUAAUUACUAAUAAGAAGGAACAAAUUACUCUAUUAAAAACUGAAGAGACUAAAAUUGCAAAAUUUUAAUUAAGGUGAAGAAAAUUGUAUUUCUGCCUUAAAACCCCAUGUUUUAAGAGUUGAGAGAAUUGUCAUACCAAAUCUUUAACUUUAAAUAAUUGGUAAUUAGAUUUAUGUUUCAUAGAUUAAGAAUUUCACAAUCCCUCAUGUUGAAUCACGUGCUUUUUAUGCCUCUAUUCUGCCCUCCAUGUUGUUUUUUUUUUGGUGCAGACUGCAGAUCAACUAAAUUAAUUUUAGUACCAAAGGGUUGUUUAUGCAAAUUUUAAAAAAUAAAUUAGUUAUUUUUAUCGUUUUGAGUAUACAAUUUACCGAAUCCGGUAAACUAAGAACCAUCACCAUUAAUCCAAUUCGAUUUCCACGUCCAGCAAACAGAUAGCAAAAUCCAUAGAAAUUUGAUGCGAUAAUUUCUUACUAUCAUUUCAUUCGAUCGACUAUAAACACAACUAGAAUUGUAGGUCAAAAACGAAAACCACAGGAACACGAAACGAAACCAACACAGAUACCGAAACUUAAACCACACACAGACAACACCUUAAAAUAAUUGAACUUAAUCAUAAACCCUAAUUUACAGGGUCAUAUGCCUAAUUUCUCCAGUUUCCAUCGGAUCCACCGCCUUCCCCACCGCGAGAGUAGCGAGAACCACCAUCACCACCGUAACCACGGUCUCUACCACCGCCGUAUCCUCCACCUCCACCCCCACCAUUACGGUUGUAUCCACCUUCACGACGACCACCGUAUCCGCCGCCGCCACCACCACCACCAUAUCCACCGCUACCGCGGUUGUAUCCACCACCACUUCCGAAACCACCGCCUCCACCACCACCACGGCUGGCGCGGGUCUGAGCUUCGUUGACAGUGAUGUUACGGCCGUCAAGGUCCUGGCCGUUCAUUCCUGCGAUCGCAUCUUUCAUUGACUGCUCUGAGGCGAAGGUCACAAAUCCGAAUCCUCUGGACCUUCCAGUCUCACGGUCGUUGAUAACCUGCACACAAAAACACGAUGCAUCAGAUCCAAAGCAAAAGAAAAAACACGAAAACUAACGACAGAACCGAAUAGAAACCGAUCGAUCUUCGCCUUUGGUGAAAGGAAGAAGAUGAACGUACCUAUUGGCGUGAGUAAUAAAAGAAUCAUAUAGUAACACAAGUAUCAUAUCAUAGAUCAAGUAACGCAAAUAGAUCAGAGAUCACAGAUCAGAAGAGGAUCGAGAAAAAAUCCGAAUCCGAAUCGUGUGAGAUCAGUUGCGGUGCCUGCAUCAAACGGACCUUC